rnacentral:rRNA from 1 species
AGUCGAACGCGCAAAUUUCCCUUCGGGGAGAAAGUAGAGUGGCGUCCGGGUGAGUAACACGUAGGUAAUCUACCUUUGGGUGUGGAAUAACACCGAGAAAUCGGUGCUAAUACCGCAUAAUGCAGCGGCACCACAUGGUGACAGUUGUUAAAGCGGGGGAUCGCAAGACCUCGCGCCUAAAGAGGAGCCUGCGGCGGAUUAGCUAGUUGGUAGGGUAACGGCCUACCAAGGCAACGAUCCGUAGCCGGCCUGAGAGGGCGGUCGGCCACACUGACACUGAAAUACGGGUCAGACUCCUACGGGAGGCAGCAGUCGGGAAUUUUGGGCAAUGGGCGAAAGCCUGACCCAGCAACGCCGCGUGAAGGAUGAAAUCCCUCGGGAUGUAAACUUCGCAAGAACGGGAAGAAUAAGUGGGAGUUAAUACCUUCCAUGAUGACGGUACCGUUUGUAAGCUCCGGCUAACUCCGUGCCAGCAGCCGCGGUAAUACGGGGGGAGCAAGCGUUGUUCGGAUUUACUGGGCGUAAAGGGCGCGUAGGCGGCCUGUGCAAGUCGGUUGUGAAAUCUCCGGGCUUAACUCGGAACGGUCAACUGAUACUGCUCGGCUAGAGUGCAGAAGGGGCAACUGGAAUUCUUGGUGUAGCGGUGAAAUGCGUAGAUAUCAAGAGGAACACCUGCGGCGAAGGCGGGUUGCUGGGCUGACACUGA